GCAUAUAUCUAUUAACGAUUCACUUGUAAUACUAACCCAAUUAAGUCCCACAUAGCUUAUAAUCUAUGGAGGGUUUUAUGGGGCAUAUCUUCACAAACUCACGCAGGAAAAAACAUAUAUUUAUUAAUCAUUCACUUGGUUUGACUAUUAAUCCAUGGUAGAGAAGGAGAAGGGAACAGUUGGAAAGUUUGGUUUAGUCAGCGCAACAUCUGUGGUCAUAUGCCGGAGAGAGACAGAAGGGGAAGGAAUUAUAGGAGAAGGGAACAGUUGGAAAGUUUGGUUUAGUGGGCGCAACAUCUGUGGUCAUAUGCCGGAGAGAGACAGAAGGGGAAGGAAUUAUAGGAGAAGGGAACAGUUGGAAAGUUUGGUUUAGUCAGCGCAACAUCUGUGGUCAUAUGCCGGAGAGAGACAGAAGGGGAAGGAGUUAUAGGAGAAGGGAACAGUUGGAAAGUUUGGUUUAGUGGGCGCAACAUCUGUGGUCAUAUGCCGGGGAGAGACAGAAGGGGAAGGAGUUAUAGGAGAAGGGAACAGUUGGAAAGUUUGGUUUAGUCGGCGCAACACCUGUGGUCAUAUGCCGGAGAGAGACAGGAGGGGAAGGAAUUAUAGAAGGGAACAGUUGGAAAGUUUGGUUUAGUGGGCGCAACAUCUGUGGUCAUAUGCCGGAGAGAGACAGAAGGGGAAGGAAUUAUAGGAGAAGGGAACAGACCCCAGGAGACGGGACACAACCCCCGAUUAAUACCUGGUACACUGCUGGGUGGACAGGGGCGUAGGGUAUCGGAAAACCCGCCCAAAUUUUUCCACUCCGCCCGGGAAUCGAACCCAGGCUCUCUCGGUUGUGAGCUGAGUGUGCUAACCACUGCACCACGAAGCCCCCCGGGUAGACUAGAGCCUGCUAUCUCUCUCUCUCUCUCUCUCUCUCUCUCUCUCUCUCUCUCUCUCUGCAACCUCUUUCAGUCAGCAGGGUUGGUAUUUAAAUGUAGUUAUUUUUAUAAUCAAACUAGAAAAUUAAAAAUACCUCACUGAUUAACCUACCACCUAAUUCCACCAAAACCUCACCUCGCUGGCCGGCAACCAACCUCCCUAAGGGUAUCAGGACAGUUUUACGGUUGGAUGGUUGACCAGGGAAUUUGACCAGGUGGGAUGGGACUUUUGACCAGGAUAUUUUCUAUUAAAUUUAGUUGACCAGGUGGGAUGGGACAUUUGACCAUGAUAUUUUCUAUUAAAUUUAGUUGACCAGGUGGGAUGGGACAUUUGACCAGGAUAUUUUCUAUUAAAUUUAGUUGACCAGGUGGGAUGGGACAUUUGACCACGAUAUUUUCUAUUAAAUUUAGUUGACCAGGUGGGAUGGGACAUUUGACCACGAUAUUCUCUCUCAAUAUAGA